ACUCCUACGGGAGGCAGCAGUGGGGAAUAUUGCACAAUGGGCGCAAGCCUGAUGCAGCCAUGCCGCGUGUAUGAAGAAGGCCUUCGGGUUGUAAAGUACUUUCAGCGGGGAGGAAGGCGAUAAGGUUAAUAACCUUGUUGAUUGACGUUACCCGCAGAAGAAGCACCGGCUAACUCCGUGCCAGCAGCCGCGGUAAUACGGAGGGUGCAAGCGUUAAUCGGAAUUACUGGGCGUAAAGCGCACGCAGGCGGUCUGUCAAGUCGGAUGUGAAAUCCCCGGGCUCAACCUGGGAACUGCAUUCGAAACUGGCAGGCUAGAGUCUUGUAGAGGGGGGUAGAAUUCCAGGUGUAGCGGUGAAAUGCGUAGAGAUCUGGAGGAAUACCGGUGGCGAAGGCGGCCCCCUGGACAAAGACUAACGCUCAGGUGCGAAAGCGUGGGGAGCAAACAGGAUUAGAAACCCCUGUAGUCCCAUGAU
rnacentral:rRNA from 1 species